GCACCCGUAGCUCAGCUGGAUAGAGUACCUGGCUACGAACUAGGGGGUCGCAUGUUCGAAUCAUGCCGGGUGCACCA
rnacentral:tRNA from 1 species